CACCACCAACAGGGAGAGAAAAAAAAAACUUGCACACUCUGAGAGCUCAACUGUGCAUGCACUUUUGUAUUUGGUGCUUGAAGACGUUCUGGGAAAGUUGUGUCUCUCCUUCUCCCCAUCCCUGCCUGCUUCUUCUUCUUCUUGUUCUUCUCGUCGCCAAUCAUGUGCUUGGGAUAUGCUCAUGCUUUGCACAGAGCAGCCGAAGCACGCCUAAAGCCGGCUGCUGAUUGUUAGCGGCAGUUUUAAACUGAUGCACCACCACCAAAUAACACGGCUGGGAUCUUUGUGGAGAACAUAUACCACAUCACGGUUCACACGGACGCAGCCGCGCUUCUCCUGCUUGGGACGCUUUCUGACCGGCUGCUGUGGUUUGACUCUCCGUUAGGAAUGAUGGGGAAGAGGAGCUGUGGAGAACUGCUGGCAGCAGGAAGCAGAGGUCAACACCAGAUCUCUGGGAUUUUGCUCUCCAAUGGACCCACAUGAGGUAAGAUGGGACUUUGAAGAUCAUGACCCAGAAACAAAUGGCAUAACGACUGGACUCUCCAGGCUAAAGACGAGGAGGCUAUUGAGCUGAUCUCAGAGGUACACGAGUCCAAACAAGAGAAGAGCCAGAAACAAGACGGGAGCUUCAAGAUUUCUAUGAUUGACAUCUCUCUCUACGACACUUGGACCUGCACUGUGCAUCAUACUUUGUAUUUCUGUCAACUGAGAAAUAAUAUGACUUUGCACAAAUAAACUUAUAUAUUUAUUUUC